AUCCCAUGGUGAGGGCAUUUGCGUAGUAAGUUUUUAAAUAUUUCCCAUGCUUCGUAUAUAGAUUCAUCAUCUAUUUUCUAAAAAGUAGUGAUCUCAUUCCACAACUU
rfam:Gossypium hirsutum cultivar TM-1 chromosome 25, whole genome shotgun sequence